GAUGAACGCUGGCGGCGUGCCUAAUACAUGCAAGUCGAGCGAACGGACGAGAAGCUUGCUUCUCUGAUGUUAGCGGCGGACGGGUGAGUAACACGUGGAUAACCUACCUAUAAGACUGGGAUAACUUCGGGAAACCGGAGCUAAUACCGGAUGAUAUUUUGAACCGCAUGGUUCAAAAGUGAAAGACGGUCUUGCUGUCACUUAUAGAUGGAUCCGCGCUGCAUUAGCUAGUUGGUAAGGUAACGGCUUACCAAGGCAACGAUGCAUAGCCGACCUGAGAGGGUGAUCGGCCACACUGGAACUGAGACACGGUCCAGACUCCUACGGGAGGCAGCAGUAGGGAAUCUUCCGCAAUGGGCGAAAGCCUGACGGAGCAACGCCGCGUGAGUGAUGAAGGUCUUCGGAUCGUAAAACUCUGUUAUUAGGGAAGAACAUAUGUGUAAGUAACUGUGCACAUCUUGACGGUACCUAUUCAGAAAGCCACGGCUAACUACGUGC
rnacentral:rRNA from 1 species